ensembl:lncRNA
GUUGAAAUAUAACUGUGACCAGCCUAUCUUAUACGGUAAUGAAAUCUGUCACAACUUGAACAUCAAAAGUGGUCACAGGCUAUAAAGGAACGGUGUUUGCGGGAGCAGUAGGGACGAGAAAUGUCAGACACUCGAGGCUGUGUCUUUGAGACGCUGUAGUCAAGAGGAUCAGAAAGGAGAGGAAGGAAGAGAUUGUCCUGCUGACAGCUGCCCGAGGAUAGGAGCGGAGGACAAAUUAAUACCUUAUCUUAUACAGAUCCUUGGAUUCCACAUGUAUUGUUUUGGAUUGGAGUGCACAAAGCUUCCACAGUAAGAAAGACCAAGACCUAAUUGCCUGUACAACUCUAUUGAGUGACCUCAAGGAACGACACAGAUCAAUCCACUUCCUAGAGAGAAACUGCCACCGUGGAGAGAGUAUAUCCACACUCUGGAGCUACUGCUGGCUGUCUAAGAAGUUUCCCCCCUGCCCUGCCAAGGUUUGCAACGUUCGUUACCAAUAUGUAUGACCUAUGUCAGAUCUAGCCCCCUGUGAGAGCUCUGGAAGUGAUCAGAGGAGAUGUGGAAGAGCUGUCCUAAGAUAUUUCACAUGCUGAAUAUGAAGAUCAGUCUCCAGUAUCACAGGGUGCACCACUGACUCACACCAGAGCAUGGCUUACUCGUUUCAAAGGAGCAGAAGUACAGAAAGAAAGAGUUCAACUAAGUUAUGCACACACUUUUUCCCCCUUCUCAUAGAAUUUUCUCUGCACUCACUUUCCAAUGUCCCCGUUGUCUUCUCUAGCUCCACUUCCAGCAGUCUCAGGUGCACUUCUGUGCAGUUUCACAGUGUUGUGCUUUUCUUUAAAUCAGUGGUAGGUUGGAGAGCCUGCGAUAGAAGUAGAUGGUAUCUAGUGGGCAUCCUGUUUAGUAACAGGAUAUUCCUGCUCUGGACAUCCAGAUAUGGUUCUGGAGUAGACAUUUUCAGCACAAGAUUGAUCCCACAUCUGUUCCUUCUUGUCUUAUCUAAUGCCCAAGGUGUUUUCCAAGAUAAAAGCAUCAUUAUCAAAGAGUGCUUCCCAGAGUAAGAGGAAGCCUAUUUAUGUUUCUUAUUACCUUGUAAACGAAGGUUACGUGAGGUGAGAUCCUUGCAGAAUCAGAGUGGGAAAGCUGAUAAGGGCACAUUGUGGAUGUCCAUGGCCAGCAGGCACGAGAGGCAGUGUGGGCCCCCCACCCUGAUACACAGGAUGCUGUGCCUUGAAUCAUCCCAGGCUGUUUCCAACACACUCUCCCAAACCAGACUAAAGAGUUCCUGUUCCAGAAGUGAAAGAGGUCCAUGGAAUUUAAGGC